GUUUUAAUAAUUUAAAAAAAAUACUGGUCUUGUAAACCAAUUUUAAGUUCAAUCUUUUAAAACA
rnacentral:tRNA from 1 species